UGAGACACUGGCCUGGGAUUCCAGGCCUUCCCCAGCAAACGCAUAGUGCAGGCCACCUGCGCUCUGCUCCGGUAAAAAUGCCGCACAGCGUCUGAUGCGUCCGCACUGCCUGGACCUGGGAACACUCAUCCCACAGGAGAAAGAAACCUGAUGUACUCAUCCAUCAGGACCACGACUCUCAGAACACGCAUCCAACUAGCCGUCUGCGGUUGGGUAGAGAGGCCCUGGGGCACACUUUUAGCCCUGCUAGAAAGUUGGCCUCGUAACUGGCCGGCUUAUUCCAGGAAUGUUUUCAUUUUUCUUUCUAAGGUCAACCUGAUCACACUGCCGAGGCUACAAGCACACAAAGGCUGCAGGCACAUAAACAAAAGAUGAAAAAACAGACUCCCGGGCAGAGAAAACAGGGUCAGAGGUGUUGCCGUGCCUGUGAGGCCUUUGCUGGCCGCCUGCGUUCCGGUGGCAGCCAGUGACCGUCCUGCACCUUCCUGCCGACUGCAGAGACCUCAGGCCACCCUUGGCUCUGACCUGUGUUUCCCAGGCUGCCUCUGCACCUGCCUGCUAAAGCCUUCCUCGGUUUCCUUUGGUCUGGUUCCCCAGAAGCAAACCCGAACUCACUAGAAUUAAGACCAGAAUUUGCCUUCAAGCAGGUGAAACUGACAGGGAAGAGGAAGAAGAGGAAGGGGCCCACCCACAGCCUCAUCUCAGGCAAGGUCCCUGGUGCUGCAGUCUGGCCCCAGAGGAGAAUCCUGAGUGUUCACUCUUUCCAGGGGCCGGGGAGUCAGGCUUUCAGACGCUGUCACACAAGUGAGUCCAAGGCGCUUCUUCUCUCUGACCCUCCAGGCAAAGCAGCUCUGGGAGCCCAAGGGGAAGCCCCCACAGAGGCAGCUCAGGAGUUAAUGCUAAGAAGCAAAGGCAGCAGAGGCUGUCAUUGAGAUUUAUUCUUUAUCAUUCCAUUACUUUUUUAACGUUUCUUUUUGGCCAGGCAUGGUGGCUCACACCUGUAAUUUUACCACUUUGGAAGGAGACUGGGGAGGUGGAUUGCUUGUGCCCAGAGUUUGAGACCAGCCUUGGCAACAAAGGGAGAUCAUAAAUAAUCUAGAAAAUCCAAAUUAAAAAGAUAAUAAUAGAUACUGACACUCACCUGAUUAGCAAAGUUAAAAUGGUGUGCCAGUACCAUCUCUACAAAAAA
rnacentral:lncRNA from 1 species